CAAGGUGUAGCUUAACACAAAGCAUCUGGCUUACACCCAGAAGAUUUCACCAUAAUCUGACCACCUUGU
rnacentral:tRNA from 1 species